rnacentral:antisense_RNA from 1 species
CUUGACCGACCCCAGCAGCAGCGGCCGCUCGGGGUCGCGGUCCUGACCGUACGUGGCCAGCAGCGCCUGCGCCUC